UCUUGACUAAAGAUGACCCCAUGGAAAUUAGAGGUAAUUUUUUCAGCAAUACAACAAGAAUUAAUAAAGAAAAUGGGACCAGAGGGAAGAGUCAUUGCUGUGGCAAGCCUGGCUGUGUGGUCCUUAGAAACUGGUUUUCAAGAUGAAUACAGAAGAGUUUGGAGCAAUAGAAACCUUAACCAAGACACUGAGAGAAAAGCUGAAGCAGCAAUGGAGACCCUAGGUUGAGAUGCCAGGAACAUGGGAAGACUGAAGAAAGCUGCAAAGCACUGAAAGGAGCUGGUCCAAUAGAAGCCAUGUGUGCUGCACCACGGGCAUGGUCAAAGGGCCAAGGCCAUC
rnacentral:lncRNA from 1 species